rnacentral:rRNA from 1 species
GGUCCAGACUUUGAUUAUGGCUCAGGACGAACGCUGGCGGCGCGCCUAACACAUGCAAGUCGAACGGAGCUUAGAGAGCUUGCUUUUUAAGCUUAGUGGCGAACGGGUGAGUAACGCGUGAGUAACCUGCCCUAGAGUGGGGGACAACAGUUGGAAACGACUGCUAAUACCGCAUAAGCCCACGGUACCGCAUGGUACUGAGGGAAAAGGAUUUAUUCGCUUUAGGAUGGACUCGCGUCCAAUUAGCUAGUUGGUGAGGUAACGGCCCACCAAGGCGACGAUUGGUAGCCGGACUGAGAGGUUGAACGGCCACAUUGGGACUGAGACACGGCCCAGACUCCUACGGGAGGCAGCAGUGGGGGAUAUUGCACAAUGGGGGAAACCCUGAUGCAGCGACGCCGCGUGGAGGAAGAAGGUUUUCGGAUUGUAAACUCCUGUCGUUAGGGACGAUAAUGACGGUACCUAACAAGAAAGCACCGGCUAACUACGUGCCAGCAGCCGCGGUAAAACGUAGGGUGCAAGCGUUGUCCGGAAUUACUGGGUGUAAAGGGAGCGCAGGCGGGAAGACAAGUUGGAAGUGAAAACCAUGGGCUCAACCCAUGAAUUGCUUUCAAAACUGUUUUUCUUGAGUAGUGCAGAGGUAGAUGGAAUUCCCGGUGUAGCGGUGGAAUGCGUAGAUAUCGGGAGGAACACCAGUGGCGAAGGCGGUCUACUGGGCACCAACUGACGCUGAGGCUCGAAAGCAUGGGUAGCAAACAGGAUUAGAUACCCUGGUAGUCCAUGCCGUAAACGAUGAUUACUAGGUGUUGGGGGAUUGACCCCCUCAGUGCCGCAGUUAACACAAUAAGUAAUCCACCUGGGGAGUACGACCGCAAGGUUGCAACUCAAAUGAAUUGACGG